GAGCUACACAUGCAGUCGAGCGAGAUCUUCGGAUCUAGCGGCGGACGGGUGAGUAACGCGUGGGAACGUACCCUCUUCUGCGGGAUAGCCACUGGAAACGGUGAGUAAUACCGCAUACGCCCUUCGGGGGAAAGAUUUAUCGGAGGAGGAUCGGCCCGCGUUGGAUUAGGUAGUUGGUGGGGUAAUGGCCUACCAAGCCUACGAUCCAUAGCUGGUUUUAGAGGAUGAUCAGCCACACUGGGACUGAGACACGGCCCAGACUCCUACGGGAGGCAGCAGUGGGGAAUCUUAGACAAUGGGCGCAAGCCUGAUCUAGCCAUGCCGCGUGAGUGACGAAGGCCUUAGGGUCGUAAAGCUCUUUCGCCUGUGAUGAUAAUGACAGUAGCAGGUAAAGAAACCCCGGCUAACUCCGUGCCAGCAGCCGCGGUAAUACGGAGGGGGUUAGCGUUGUUCGGAAUUACUGGGCGUAAAGCGCACGUAGGCGGAUUGGAAAGUAUGGGGUGAAAUCCCAGGGCUCAACCCUGGAACGGCCUCAUAAACUUCCAGUCUGGAGUUCGAGAGAGGUGAGUGGAAUUCCGAGUGUAGAGGUGAAAUUCGUAGAUAUUCGGAGGAACACCAGUGGCGAAGGCGGCUCACUGGCUCGAUACUGACGCUGAGGUGCGAAAGUGUGGGGAGCAAACAGGAUUAGAUACCCUGGUAGUCCAC
rnacentral:rRNA from 1 species